rnacentral:rRNA from 1 species
UACAGAGGAGCCAAGCGUUGUCCGGAUUGACUGGGCGUAAAGCGCACGCAGGCGGUCGCGCGCGUGGGGUGUGAAAUCUGGCCGCUUAACGGCCAGGCGCCAUCCCAUACGGCGCGACUGGAGUGAUGCAGAGGUCGAUGGAAUUGCCGGUGUAGUGGUGAAAUGCGUAGAGAUCGGCAGGAACACCUAGGGGGAAACCAGUCGACUGGGCAUCUACUGACGCUGAGGUGCGAGAGCGUGGGGAGCGAACCGG